rnacentral:rRNA from 1 species
CAGCAGCCGCGGUAACACAGAGGGUGCGAGCGUUAAUCGGAUUUACUGGGCGUAAAGCGUGCGUAGGCGGCUUUUUAAGUCGGAUGUGAAAUCCCUGAGCUUAACUUAGGAAUUGCAUUCGAUACUGGGAAGCUAGAGUAUGGGAGAGGAUGGUAGAAUUCCAGGUGUAGCGGUGAAAUGCGUAGAGAUCUGGAGGAAUACCGAUGGCGAAGGCAGCCAUCUGGCCUAAUACUGACGCUGAGGUACGAAAGCAUGGGGAGCAAACAGGAUUAGAUACCCCCGUAGUCCCUGUCUCUUAUAU